GGCGGUUCUCAGGUGACGCACUCCGGAAUCAGGCUCCCUCCUCUCUGGUUCCAAGUGUGUGACUCAAAAACUGCA
rfam:Myotis davidii contig225891, whole genome shotgun sequence.